UACGGAGGGGGCUAGCGUUGUUCGGAAUUACUGGGCGUAAAGCGCACGUAGGCGGCUUUGUAAGUUAGAGGUGAAAUCCCAGAGCUCAACUCUGGAACUGCCUUUGAUACUGGGUAUCUUGAGUAUGGAAGAGGUAAGUGGAAUUGCGAGUGUAGAGGUGAAAUUCGUAGAUAUUCGCAGGAACACCAGUGGCGAAGGCGGCUUACUGGUCCAUAACUGACGCUGAGGUGCGAAAGCGUGGGGAGCAAACAGG
rnacentral:rRNA from 1 species